CCCUUAGAUGUUCUGGGCCGCACGCGCGCUACACUGAUGCAUUCAACGAGUUUCUUCCUGGUCCGAGAGGAAUGGGUAACCUUUUGAAAGUGCAUCGUGAUAGGGAUAGACUAUUGCAAUUAUUGGUCUUCAACGAGGAAUUCCUAGUAGACGUAGUUCAUCAGACUGCAUCGAUUACGUCCCUGCCCUUUGUACACACCGCCCGUCGCUCCUACCGAUUGAAUGCUCAGGUGAGCCAUUCGGACUUUCAUCAUGCUGGUAUCCAGUUUUGAUGAAGGAAAGUCUUGCGAACCUUAUCAUUUAGAGGAAGGAGAAGUCGUAACA
rnacentral:rRNA from 1 species